UACGUAGGGACCAAGCGUUGUCCGGAAUCAUUGGGCGUAAAGAGCGUGUAGGCGGCUUGUUAAGUCUUGCGUGAAAUCUCGGGGCUCAACCCCGAGCGGUCGUGAGAAACUGGCAGGCUAGAGUGCGGGAGAGGAGAGUGGAAUUCCUGGUGUAGCAGUGAAAUGCGCAGAUAUCAGGAAGAACACCCGUGGCGAAGGCGGCUCUCUGGAACGCAACUGACGCUGAGACGCGAAGCGUGGGAGCGAACAGG
rnacentral:rRNA from 1 species